rnacentral:rRNA from 1 species
UACGUAGGGGGGCAAGCGUUGUCCGGAUUUAUUGGGCGUAAAGCGCGUGUAGGCGGCCAGGUAGGUCCGCUGUGAAAACUCGAGGCUCAACCUCGAGACGUCGGCGGAAACCAUCUGGCUAGAGUCCGGAAGAGGAGAGUGGAAUUCCUGGUGUAGCGGUGAAAUGCGCAGAUAUCAGGAGAACACCGGUGGCGAAGGCGGGUCU